rfam:Homo sapiens chromosome 15, GRCh38 reference primary assembly.
GCCGGGCGUGGUAGCGGGCGCCUGUAGUCCCAGCUACUCGGGAGGCUGAGGCAGGAGAAUGGCGUGAACCCGGGAGGCGGAGCUUGCAGUGAGCCGAGAUCGCGCCACUGCACUCCAGCCUGGGCGACAGAGCGAGACUCCGUCUCAAAAAAAAAAAAAAAAAAAAAAAAAAGUGCAAUAAGUAGAGGAAGGAAACACUUGAUUUUUAUUUAUUUAUUUAUUUUUUUGAGACAAGAGUCUCGCUCUGUCACCCAGGCUGAAGUCGCCCAGGCUGGAGUGCAGUGGCCUGAUCUCGGCUCACUGCUAGCUCCGCCUCCCGCGUUCACGCCAUUCUCCUGCCUCAG